UACGGAGGGUGCAAGCGUUAUCCGGAUUCACUGGGUUUAAAGGGUGCGUAGGUGGGUUGGUAAGUCAGUGGUGAAAUCUCUAGGCUUAACCUGGAAACUGCCAUUGAUACUAUCAGUCUUGAAUAUUGUGGAGGUCAGCGGAAUAUGUCAUGUAGCGGUGAAAUGCUUAGAUAUGACAUAGAACACCAAUUGCGAAGGCAGCUGGCUAUGCAUAUAUUGACACUGAGGCACGAAAGCGUGGGUAGCAAACAGG
rnacentral:rRNA from 1 species